UGGUUGAAGACCCUUAAUGAUCAAGCUGCCAAUUUGUAUUCAAUGAUAGGAUGCUUAACUUCACUUAAACCAUCAGGCACGCCAACUCUGCUCCAGUUAUAAACGGAAAACAACGAAAGUAUAAAUUCGCUACGGAACAAGAGUUUGGCGAGUUUGCUUUUUGUGGAGGUUCACGUCACCAUAAAACACUUUGGGUGGCUACAUGUCACUAACGAGUGAACUUGGAUGUUUCGAGUGGGACGUGUGAUUAUUUUGAGUGGAAUGUGGCUUAUUCGAGUAGGAUGUGAUUGUAUCUAUGACAAGAUUUGUCUAAUAAUGGGAGGCUCAUGACGUGCGCCGUUAUGUAAUGAUAUAUCAGCCUCUUGGAAAGUA